AAAGUAUUUCUACUUCGCUACUAUACAACACUGGUUGUUUGAAAUAGUGAAGGUCACCGCAGCAAUCCUGGAGAAUGCCCUGGACAAGUUUUUCACAGACAACGAUAUCCCGUGGUCCAACUUGGUGAGCAUGAUGAUGGAUUCCUGUGCAGUGAUGCGGGGCAGCAAAACGGGCCUGGAAACCAGAGUGCGACACAACCACUGCCCAGAGCUUCUAGAUAUCGACGGGGACUCGUGCCAUCACAUUCAUAAUGCGUCAAAGAGAUUUUCCAGUCCUUUCAACGGUCAUCUAGAACAGCUCUUCAGUGACCUUCAUGUUGAUCCCAAGUGGGCUUCUGAUCAGUCUCUUGCCCAAGGACAUUUUGACAUGAGGGAAUAAGGAGACAGGAUUUGAACCGCUGACACUUUGGUAAUUUGAUGGCCAUUAGAUUGCCUUAUUAUUGUCCUCUGAUUCAUGAAUAUCAUAUGGGACUGAAUCAUAACUUGAGACAUGUGUUCCGUUUGUCAGCGGGCUUACCUCCAAGAGAUCUGUGAAUACAUGAGCAUUCCUGGAUCAACUCCAUAGAGAUUCGGUGAGCAUCGUUGGCUGUCAUGUUAUGAUGUUGGACUCAGCACUCAGACCAUGCUUCCUAAUCACAAGGUCCUGUACUUUGGGUUCAUGGAUAAAGAAGACAAGGCUCUCUACAAAGAACCUUGGGAACAACUUUAUGCUGCUCACCAUGGGAGUGAAAAGGCCCAGAGUUGCAUUCAGUCUUUUCACAAGGACAUCAGCGGGAAAGGAAUGACACAGCAGGGCAGAGACCGAAAGCAGCGGUUGGUCAAGAAACUGUGGCAUGAAGACACCAAAACAGAGCUCCAUCUCAGUGUCUACUAGGGCUGUCACCUUUUAUUCGAAGUUUGAAUAUUCGUUCGAAGGCGGGGUGAAAAGUUCGAAUUCGAAGUGUAAUUCUCCAUUCGAACUGUGUGUAUUGCCGUCUCAUAAGAACUUCUGACCAUUUUAGGUAGUCUGCUUUCGAUCCAGCAGAGGGCGCACUAACAUUUUACCUGUUGCCGACCCUCUUGGCCUGGCUAUCUGUAUCGAAUGUUGAAUCAACAUUCGAUACAUAGGCCAAGAGGGCUUUGAAACAAAACGUAACUGAAGAGAACGCGAACCGAGAUACGGCUAUUAAAAAACUGCUAUUAAAAAUGGAGAAUUGCGAGGAGUACAAUGCUGAGCGGACUAUAACGACACCAUCACAUUUAAAAAGCAGCGUAUGGAAGCAUUUUGGCUUUUAUACCGUGGGUGGAAAAGUCACAAACAAAAACAAGGCUGUUUGUCGUCUUUGUAAAAGAGCUGUCGUACUUAUCGACAACAUCAACAUUUGCGCACUCAUCUGCUAGCUUACCACCGAAAUGUAGCAGCAGAGGAACAACUGCCGAGCGGAGCAGCACAGAGUGUACAGCCGCGCGUGACAGCAUUAUAUUUGGCUCACUCAGCAGGCCCCUUACCUGACGCCCGUAACAAGGCCAUCACCGGUAAAAUCGUUUAUAUAGGCUGUGUGUGCCAUGGACGACAUGCGCUCCGCAUAUCGCGCUCCGCAUAUCGCACUCCGAUCAGUUAUUGAUAAUGUGUAAAAGACAGCCGCACUUGUGUGUCGGAGCUUCCUCUUGUUGUGUUUACAAAUGUGUUAUCAAAGAUGUGUUUUCAUCCUGUGCUAUUAUGAAUUCAGUAGGUAUACAUGAUUAAAAAGAGAAAUAAAAAGAGCAACAUAAAAACGGGGGGGGGGGGGAGUCGAAUAUAUUCAAAUGUAUUCAAAUUAAUUAUGUCCUGGCUAUUCUGAAAGAAUACGUCAUGGCAUUCCAGGUAUAUUGAAAUAUACCUGGAAUAUUUGAAACUGUUUCACAACUAUGUUGUAUCGUAAAGCUUGGAUAGUUUUAUUGUAUGUUACCAGUGUAACUGGCUGCGUCUUACUCUGCUUGUAUGGUGGAAAUUCAUAUCCAUCUCUCACUUGCACAAUAUUACUACUUCCUCAGAGUCGUGACACCCUUGUGCACAAGUUGCAUGACAAGCAGCUGCAGGUUUUCACCAACUUCCUUGCAUGCUUUGUGAAGCCAGAAAACCUGCCACCAAUCCCCAGGAUCCUAGCAGGUCUCGAACUCAAGGGAGACAAACUGCUGCCUGCAAGAGACCUGUAUGUGUGUCGAGUGGCAGAUAGAUUCAGACGGGAGCAUCCUCAACACCAUCUGCUGAAGCCCUUCCUGGACCAAGGCAUACAUCACAUGUGGGGAAUACCUGCAGAGCAAGCUGCCACAGGAGAGCAUGACCCUGCAGUGCCUGUCUGCUGUUGACCCUAUUGCAAGGGGGCACUCCAAGACUGGACGUCUGCUGAGACGACUUGCGGAGAUGUUUACCCAGUUUCUCCCUGCUGAUGGGGAUGUUCAGCAAGAGGUUCUCCAGUAUGGCGUAGACCAGAGCCUGCAAACUUUCAGAGAAGGAGAUGAUGCUGUCAGCUGGUGGGCAGCUGUCUUUGAAACGGGAAGGUACCCAGGGCUCAGCAUGGCAGUAAAGGCAGCAUUGUCGGUGUUCCAUGGGCCAACGGUGGAGUCCUCAUUCAGUCUUAUGUCUGAAAUCAUAGACUCGAAAAGUGGCAGCAUGAACAUUUCCACUCUGAGUGCCAUGCAAACUGUCGAACAUACCUUGCUGCAUGGCUGAUCUCUUCUUUCAUCGCUGUACUUUCUUACGGAGGCUAAUUCCCGCUCGGCUACCUAAGCAGUAAGGUCUACAGUGGUUUACUGUGAUGUAAAGCAGCCAGGGGCAUCGUUAGACUUCAGAAAGUGGCUUAUUGCUUUUAUAAACGGUUACGGAAACGGUUUACAAUAGACUACCUGGUAAGAUUUCACAAAAUAAACUCAUUCUGUUAGUUUGUUUCUCUUAAUGUACUUAAAUAUCUAAUAUGUAGCAAAAAGCGGGUUUUGAUAAAUCGGUUAGUCGCUUUUAAGGGCACCGGCGGGGGUCAACUAGGUGUCAAAUAGGGGUCAGCUAGGGGUCAAGGGGAAGUGGCUCUCUGUGUUUCUGUUUUCUGUUUCUCUCGGGUGAGGCCCCUAAACACCGAUUGGACCGUCUUUAUUCCAGCUGAUCACAUGCUGGCCUCGUUCCACUUUAACAGCCGCUAAUCCGUUAAGGAGCUGCGACUGGGCCGCGGCCGUGGCCAUUCCCGCCUGGUUCCGUCUCGUUGUGAUUCUGGCUGUGACCUUGUUUGUUGGGGGGGAGGGACAUUCCCCCCCCCCCUCCCCCCACUCAACACCUUCCCCCCUGUCCCUCCCCCCUCCCCCCCUCGUCUGUAGGAAGGCGAGGCAGCCAUGGUGAUUGAUGGGUGUGAUGUGUCAGAAGAGCUCUGGGAGCCCACCUUCUCCUCCACGGUCUCGCUUGCUUCUGAGCUCCCGCUCUACACCUACCCCGCCAGCGAGCCCAGCAGCCAGGCCUCUAGAUCCCUGCUGGUGGACGAGAGACAUCCCUGGAGGAGGAAGGUG